GGGGGACGGAGAAGGCUAUGUUGGCCGGGCGACGGUUGUCCCGGUUUAAGCGUGUAGGCUGGUUUUCCAGGCAAAUCCGGAAAAUCAAGGCUGAGGCGUGAUGACGAGGCACUACGGUGCUGAAGCAACAAAUGCCCUGCUUCCAGGAAAAGCCUCUAAGCAUCAGGUAACAUCAAAUCGUACCCCAAACCGACACAGGUGGUCAGGUAGAGAAUACCAAGGCGCUUGAGAGAACUCGGGUGAAGGAACUAGGCAAAAUGGUGCCGUAACUUCGGGAGAAGGCACGCUGACACGUAGGUGAAGUGAUUUACUCAUGGAGCUGAAGUCAGUCGAAGAUACCAGCUGGCUGCAACUGUUUAUUAAAAACACAGCACUGUGCAAACACGAAAGUGGACGUAUACGGUGUGACGCCUGCCCGGUGCCGGAAGGUUAAUUGAUGGGGUCAGCGCAAGCGAAGCUCCUGAUCGAAGCCCCGGUAAACGGCGGCCGUAACUAUAACGGUCCUAAGGUAGCGAAAUUCCUUGUCGGGUAAGUUCCGACCUGCACGAAUGGCGUAAUGAUGGCCAGGCUGUCUCCACCCGAGACUCAGUGAAAUUGAACUCGCUGUGAAGAUGCAGUGUACCCGCGGCAAGACGGAAAGACCCCGUGAACCUUUACUAUAGCUUGACACUGAACAUUGAGCCUUGAUGUGUAGGAUAGGUGGGAGGCUUUGAAGUGUGGACGCCAGUCUGCAUGGAGCCGACCUUGAAAUACCACCCUUUAAUGUUUGAUGUUCUAACGUGGACCCGUUACCCGGGUUGCGGACAGUGUCUGGUGGGUAGUUUGACUGGGGCGGUCUCCUCCUAAAGAGUAACGGAGGAGCACGAAGGUUGGCUAAUCCUGGUCGGACAUCAGGAGGUUAGUGCAAUGGCAUAAGCCAGCUUGACUGCGAGCGUGACGGCGCGAGCAGGUGCGAAAGCAGGUCAUAGUGAUCCGGUGGUUCUGAAUGGAAGGGCCAUCGCUCAACGGAUAAAAGGUACUCCGGGGAUAACAGGCUGAUACCGCCCAAGAGUUCAUAUCGACGGCGGUGUUUGGCACCUCGAUGUCGGCUCAUCACAUCCUGGGGCUGAAGUAGGUCCCAAGGGUAUGGCUGUUCGCCAUUUAAAGUGGUACGCGAGCUGGGUUUAGAACGUCGUGAGACAGUUCGGUCCCUAUCUGCCGUGGGCGCUGGAGAACUGAGGGGGGCUGCUCCUAGUACGAGAGGACCGGAGUGGACGCAUCACUGGUGUUCGGGUUGUCAUGCCAAUGGCACUGCCCGGUAGCUAAAUGCGGAAGAGAUAAGUGCUGAAAGCAUCUAAGCACGAAACUUGCCCCGA
rnacentral:rRNA from 1 species